UACGAAGGGUGCAAACGUUGCUCGGAAUUAUUGGGCGUAAAGCGCACGUAGGCGGCUUUGCAAGUCGGAUGUGAAAGCCCUCGGCUCAACCAAGGAAGUGCAUCCGAAACUGCAGAGCUUGAGUACUUAAGAGGAUCGCGGAAUUCCCGGUGUAGAGGUGAAAUUCGUAGAUAUUGGGAAGAACACCGGUGGCGCAAGCGACUUGCUGGGCCGUAACUGACGCUGAGGAACGAAAGCUAGGGUAGCGAAUGGG
rnacentral:rRNA from 1 species